CUUAAGUUGGCAGAAUAAAGUGCAGGUGAUUUAAGCUUAUCAAAUGAAAAGACUUUCACUUAAGA
rnacentral:tRNA from 1 species